rnacentral:rRNA from 1 species
UACGAAGGGGGCGAGCGUUGUUCGGAAUUACUGGGCGUAAAGGGCGCGUAGGCGGCGACCCAAGUCAGAUGUGAAAGUCCUGGGCUUAACCUGGGGACUGCAUUUGAUACUGGGUUGCUUGAAUUCGGGAGAGGAUAGCGGAAUUCCCAGUGUAGAGGUGAAAUUCGUAGAUAUUGGGAGGAACACCAGUGGCGAAGGCGGCUUCCUGGCCUGUUCUUGACGCUGAGGCGCGAAAGCUAGGGGAGCAAACGGG